rnacentral:rRNA from 1 species
UAGGGAAUAUUGCUUAAUGGGCGAAAGCCUGAAGCAGCAACGCCGCGUGUGUGAAGAAGGCCUUCGGGUUGUAAAGCACUUUUUGAGGGAAUGAGGAAGGACAGUACCCUCAGAAUAAGCCUCGGCUAACUACGUGCCAGCAGCCGCGGUAAAACGUAGGAGGCGAGCGUUAUCCGGAUUUACUGGGCGUAAAGCGCGUGCAGGCGGCACGGCAAGUUGGAUGUGAAAGCUCCCGGCUUAACUGGGAGAGGUCGUUCAAAACUGUCCAGCUAGAGUGCGGGAGAGGGAGGUGGAAUUCCGGGUGUAGUGGUGAAAUGCGUAGAUAUCCGGAGGAACACCAGUGGCGAAAGCGGCCUCCUGGUCCGCAACUGACGCUCAGACGCGAAAGCUAGGGUAGCAAACGG